rnacentral:rRNA from 1 species
AGGGUGCAAGCGUUGUCCGGAAUUAUUGGGCGUAAAGAGCUCGUAGGCGGUCUGUCGCGUCUGCUGUGAAAACUCAGGGCUUAACCCUGAGCUUGCAGUGGGUACGGGCAGACUAGAGUGCGGUAGGGGAGACUGGAAUUCCUGGUGUAGCGGUGAAAUGCGCAGAUAUCAGGAGGAACACCGGUGGCGAAGGCGGGUCUCUGGGCCGUAACUGACGCUGAGGAGCGAAAGCAUGGGGAGCGAACAGG